rnacentral:sRNA from 1 species
ACGACGACAACUAGUUGUCGUCGUUGACGAUGUAGAGCUUGGUACUGUCGUUUUCGUUGACGAAGACGUGCUCGUACUUGAUGGCAAACUAGUUGUCGUCGUUGAAGAUGUAGAGCUUGGUUCUGAAGUUGUUGUCGAAGAAGACGUGCUCGUACUUGAUGGUGAACUAGUUGUCGUCGUUGAAGAUGUAGAGCUUGGUUCUGACGUUGUUGUCGAAGAAGAUGUGCUCGUACUUGAUGGUAAACUAGUUGUCGUCGUCGACGAUGUAGAGCUUGGUACUGACGUUGUUGUUGACGAAGACGUGCUCGUACUUGUUGGUAAACUAGUUGACGACGUUGACGAUGUAGAGCUUGGUAUUGACGUUGUUGUUGACAAAGACGUGCUCGUACUUGUUGGUAAAGAAGUUGUCGUCGUUGACGAUGUAGAGCUUGGUUCUGACGUUGUUGUUGACGAAGACGUGCUCGUACUUUUUGGUAAACUAGUUGUCGUCGUUGACGAUGUAGAGCUUGGUACUGUCGUUUUCGUUGACGAAGACGUGCUCGUACUUGAUGGCAAACUAGUUGUCGUCGUUGAAGAUGUAGAGCUUGGUUCUGACGUUGUUGUCGAAGAAGACGUGCUCGUACUUGAUGGUGAACUAGUUGUCGUCGUUGAAGAUGUAGAGCUUGGUUCUGACGUUGUUGUUGACGUAAAUAUACUCGUACUUGUUGGCAAACUAGUUGUCGUUGUUGACGAUGUAGAACUUGGUACUGACGUUGUUGUUGACGAAGACGUGCUCGUACUUGUUGGUAAACUAGUUGUCGACGUUGAAGAUGUAGAGCUUGGUAUAGAUGUUGUCGACGAAGACGCGCUCGUACUUGUUGGCAAACUAGUUGUCGUCGUUGAAGAUGUAGAGCUCGGUACUGACGUUGUUAUUGACGAAGAAGCGCUAGUACCUGUUGGUAAACUAGUCGUCGACGUUGAA